rnacentral:rRNA from 1 species
GACGAACGCUGGCGGCGUGCCUAAUACAUGCAAGUAGAACGCUGAAGGAGGAGCUUGCUCUUCUGGAUGAGUUGCGAACGGGUGAGUAACGCGUAGGUAACCUGCCUGGUAGCGGGGGAUAACUAUUGGAAACGAUAGCUAAUACCGCAUAAGAGUAGAUGUUGCAUGACAUUUACUUAAAAGGUGCAAUUGCAUCACUACCAGAUGGACCUGCGUUGUAUUAGCUAGUUGGUGGGGUAACGGCUUACCAAGGCGACGAUACAUAGCCGACCUGAGAGGGUGAUCGGCCACACUGGGACUGAGACACGGCCCAGACUCCUACGGGAGGCAGCAGUAGGGAAUCUUCGGCAAUGGACGGAAGUCUGACCAAGCAACGCCGCGUGAGUGAAGAAGGUUGUCGGAUCGUAAAGCUCUGUUGUAAGAGAAGAACGAGUGUGAGAGUGGAAAGUUCACACUGUGACGGUAUCUUACCAGAAAGGGACGGCUAACUACGUG